ACAGGGGCGGGGCGGUGCCCGGGGCUGUCGCGACAGGGGCGGGUCCUCCCGCCGCCGGGGGCGCCGCGCGGCGCGGGCCGAGGGCGGGAGGAGCGGCGGGCCCUGAGGGAGCGGCCGCGGCGGCGGCUCCUCCUCUCCAGCCAUGGCUGUAAAGGACCCUACAGCUGUAGAAAGAGCAAAUUUAUUAAACAUGGCUAAACUGAGUAUCAAAGGACUCAUUGAAUCAGCCUUGAGCUUUGGGCGCACUCUGGAUUCUGACUACCCACCUUUGCAGCAGUUCUUUGUUGUCAUGGAGCACUGCCUGAAGCAUGGCCUGAAAGUAAGAAAAUCCUUUCUCAGUUACAAUAAAACCAUCUGGGGUCCUCUGGAACUUGUGGAAAAAUUAUAUCCAGAAGCUGAGGAAAUAGCAGCAAGUGUCAGAGAUUUGCCUGGCCUUAAGACGCCGCUGGGCCGUGCCCGGGCCUGGCUGCGGUUGGCGCUGAUGCAGAAGAAAAUGGCUGAUUAUCUUCGCUGUUUAAUCAUUCAGAGGGACCUCCUCAGUGAGUUUUAUGAGUAUCAUGCACUCAUGAUGGAGGAGGAAGGAGCAGUGAUUGUUGGGCUGUUAGUUGGGCUGAAUGUGAUCGAUGCCAACCUGUGUGUGAAGGGAGAAGACCUGGAUUCACAAGUUGGGGUGAUUGAUUUCUCUGUGUAUUUGAAGAGUGAUGAUGACAUUGGGGGUAAAGAAAGAGAUAUACAGAUUGCUGCAAUAUUGGACCAAAAGAAUUAUGUUGAGGAACUAAACAGGCAACUGAAUAGCACAGUUAGCAGUCUACAUGCAAGAGUUGACUCACUGGAGAAAUCAAACACGAAGCUGAUUGAAGAGUUAGCAAUAGCAAAAAACAAUAUAAUUAAACUUCAGGAAGAAAACCAUCAAUUAAGGAGUGAAAAUACUCUGAUUUUAAUGAAAACACAGCAUCAUCUAGAGGCAGCCAAGGUGGACGUGGAGGCAGAGCUGCAGACCUACAAGCACUCGAGGCAGGGCUUGGAUGAGAUGUACACGGAGGCGCGCAGGCAGCUCCGCGAGGAGGCACAGCUGCGCCAGGAUAUGGAGAAUGAGCUAGUGGUUCAAGUUAGCAUGAAACAUGAGAUAGAGCUUGCCAUGAAGCUGCUGGAGAAGGAUAUCCAUGAGAAGCAGGACACCCUCAUCGGCCUACGGCAGCAGCUUGAUGAAGUCAAAGCAAUUAAUGUGGAAAUGUACCAAAAGCUGCAGGUUUCUGAAGAUGCUAUGAAAGAAAAGAAUGAAAUAAUUAGUCGAUUAGAGGAUAAGACCAAUCAAAUUAAUGCAACUAUGAAACAACUGGAACAAAGAUUGCAGCAAGCAGAGAAGGCUCAAAUGGAGGCAGAGGCUGAGGAUGAGAAACUUAAGCAGGAAUAUGUGAAUAAAUCUGAAAGCCUGCAGAACGAAUUCUCCCAGAAGGAGAAACAGCUGCUUCAGCUGGAAACAGAUUUGAAGAUAGAAAAAGAGUGGCGGCAAACCCUGGAGGAUGAUCUUCAGAAGGAAAAGGAGACUGUAUCUCAUCUGAGAACAGAGACCCAAGAAAUAGUUACCCUUAAGAAAGAGUUCCUUAAACUUCAGGAGAAGAACAAGCAGCUGAAAAGCAUAUGUGAGGACCAAGAAGCUGCUCUCCAAGAACUGGCAUCCAAGCUGAGCGAAUCAAAGCUGAAAAUAGAAGAUAUAAAAGAAGCAAACAAGGCAUUGCAGGGCCAGGUUUGGUUGAAGGACAAAGAAGCCACUCAUUGCAAGCUGUGUGAAAAGGAAUUUUCACUUUCCAAAAGGAAGCAUCACUGUAGGAACUGUGGGGAGAUCUUCUGCAAUGCCUGUUCUGACAAUGAGCUGCCUCUGCCCUCUUCACCAAAGCCAGUCCGGGUCUGUGAUUCCUGCCAUGCAAUACUGAUACAGAGGUGCUCUUCUAACGUGCCAUAAGAUAUUUAUCCAUUCUGCUGUUUAGCUCAUCCUGUCAAAACCACCACACCAACUAAAGAAUGUGCCACAGUAUUUCCAGACUUUGAGGAAAAAUGUGUAAUAUUCAGAUUGCUGUUACUGACUGCAGGUAAGACUUCUGCCUUGAACAAAAUGAAUGCUGGAUGUUCCAUAUCGUUUAAUUUCCCUUGGCAUCAAAUUAUAUACCUGGCCUGCUUUUAAGGUUUUUGGACACUGCUGUGACUAAUGCUGCAAUUCUGUCCUUCUGUAAAAACCCUGCUCAAUUCUAAAUCCUUCUCGCACAAAGACAAGCACAGGAAGAGCCGUGGGGUACCCACAGGAACCUGGAACUGUCAGACAGGACCAGAGCAGCAUUUUAUUCCUUUUGGGGAAUGAAGCCACUUCUGCCUUGCUGCGCUGGGGGCGUUCACCAGCCCCCAGUGUCGAUGCCGUGUUCCUCGUGCUCCUCCCGGCUCCGCCAGGUCCGUGCCGUGUUUGCUCCGGAGCCCCGGUGCUGCCCGGCAGGAGCAGGGCCAGGAAGCUGCCCCGGCCUGCGGGAGCUCCUGUGGGAGCGGGCACGGGAACGGCUCCCGUGCCGGUCGAGGCUGCUGCUGGCAGCUGAGGGCCGGAGCUGAGCGCUCUCGCUGCGGCUGAAGGGACGGGCGGGCACAAGGGACUCGUGUCCCGCACAGCGUGUGCUGGCUGGGGCUGAAGUGAGCAGGCUGCAGCUUGCCCAAAGCACAGCCCCAGCCUCCCCAAAGGCCAGGCCCGGUGUCAGCUCCUCCCAGGAUGGAGCCCCAGCUGUUCCCAGGCGAGGAGGCGCUGCCGAGCUGCAGGAUUUCGCUCUGCUGUGCCCGCGCUAACAGACUGCUGCAAGCGACCUUUCCUCCACCUCACUCUAAGGUACUUCUGCUAUUGAAUUAACUCUGGUGCUACCAUUGCCACUCGGGAAACACCUCAGCUUCGCUGGCAAGACCAAAAGCCCCCUAGUUCUGCAGAGCACAAUGGUCCAAAUGGUCAAGAACUCCUUUUCCCUCCCCUUCCUAGCCAACACUUCCUGUGCCAGUUACCCUUUUCAGCUCUUCCACGCCCUUUGACACCCGGACACAGCCUCUGGUGAAAUAAACUCCAUUCUCCUCUCUCCCACAAGAAGACAUUUAUUACAGAUAUAACACAGUACUAGCAAAACAGGUGACAGACUUGCAAUACCCAAGAUCACAUUUGACAUUUUAAGGGAGGCAUUGAGGACAAAGCAGUUAAUUUGGGAGAUCACACUGGCUCAGAAGAAUAAAUACCUUUUUCCAUUACACAUCAGGUAUGUUAAGUGUCUUCAAACAGUAAGUUUCUUACAUAUCUUACAUGUCACAAAUGCACAAAAAGUUUUAUCAGCGUGUUUGGGUUGUGUGUUCCUGAAGAAGUAUUGGGCCUAUAGAUAUUUUAGAGAUCUUGGCUUCUAAUGAGCUCCUAUGUAGAAUGGCUUGGCAAACUUUGAACAAAUACAGACAAAUCAGCUCUGUGCAGUGAAAGAAAAUGCUGAACCAUGUUUAAAUACAAUAAAUUCAAGAAAGAAAAGAAGUAACUUGCUUCCAAAUCCCCCACUCUUCCUAAAAGCGUGUUUGUGAAAACAAUACUAAGUAAAAAGCGUCAAAUGAACUAGUACUUGACCUACGUUAGCUAAAAGCUGUGCUCGUGUUUCAGUCAGACUUGCAGGUCCCCUGUGUGAAAUGCAGGCUCCAACCACUCCAGCAAGGUGGAAAUAAAUGUGGCUGCAGGGUGCUGUGGAGGCAGACAGGGGUGCUGCUCCUUUACAGCUGUGCAGUUGCUGGGGGUGCUGGCAGCAGGAGGAACAACGACUGAGCCUCCACAGCUUUCUGCUGCGCUGCAGUUACUACAUACAACUUACCAAAAGGGCUUAGGAAAGUAAUUACCAAAUCAACUAAUCUACUCAUCUACCCUUCUCCCCUUAAACAAGUGAAUGUUUAAAUUUGCUCACUAGACCAGGAUUACAUAGAACUGAAUCAGUGUUCAUAGGAGUUACAGUACAACCACCUUUAUGGAACCAUAGUACAACAUUUUAAACCGACUGUAGUCUUGAAUAUGCAAUACAUCCUUAGGAGUAACUAGUAUAAAAAGUAUCAACAUCAGUGGUUUGAAUAUAAAAAUUUAUUUAAAGUCAGAGUAUGCAACAAAUAAAACCUACAGAAAACAGAUUUUCCCAUCACAAUCUGUUGCUUACCAAAUAAUAUUGUGAAAACACAUUCCUUCAGUCAUUAUAAAGUUCUUAAAAUACAAAAGAAAUUAAAUUUUGUAAGAAAGUCUAGUAGACCAGAGACUGUUUCUUCCAAGAUGUUCUGCAGAAGCAAGGCUAUCCUUCAAUACAUCCCACGCCAUCCUCCUCCACCCAUGCUGCCUUGCCCAUAGUAUCCUCCACUAUUUCCACUGCCACGACCUGCAAACAAUUGACAAGGUCACGCAUACAUACCUUAAAAAAAGAAAAAAUGGGACGGGUGAUACAGAACAAUGGCUGAAGGUGACAACUCACACUAACAACACUCCAGCACCACUGCUCUUAACCAGUGUUUGCUGCAGUGGCACAAUGUGCAAAGCCCCCAGAGAUGGAGUUUCAGAAGAGCAGUGCCCCUCUGUCCAUUCUCCCAGCCCAGUGCCCCCCAUCAAAGACAGUCAUUCACACACUCCCCCAGACACGUGAAAGAGAACUUGUACUUACUGUAUCCCCCCAAGCCAUCAGGAGUUCCAUAUCCACCGCUGUAAUUGCUACCCAUUCCCAUUCUACCAACAGAGCCGUAACCUUGAUCUGCAAAGCCAAAAGUGCAACAUUACAAGCUUGGGACUCACUAGUCUUGGCAAGGCAUCAACUAAAUGUGCAAUUGAUGCGUACCCAUUCCAUCUCUGCCAUAGCCUCCCAUUCCAGAGCCACCUCCAGCAGUAGAAUUCAGGAACAGUUCAAUAUACCGAUGCUCUGUAAGAAGCAAAAAGCCUCAGUUUGCAUUUUGUUUUCCAGACCAGAAGCAGAAGUACAAAGCAACCCCCCACGGCCCUUAAAGGCAGCAGACAAAAGGCCACAAACGUGGGAAACUGUGACCACCUCAGGAUGGAGCUGCUGCUCCCAGCCCUGCUAGCACCUGGCCGAGCGGCAGUCAGGAACACGACACUCACGCAUGUGGUUCUUAUCCUUGGACAUGGCAGCCACUGCAUCCUCGUGUGUUACAAACUCCACAUCUGCCUCUCCUGUAGCUCUUCCAUCUGCUCCAAUAUCAAUGUGAACUCUUAUAGGGUU